UACGGAAGGGGCGAGCGUUGUUCGGAAUCACUGGGCGUAAAGCGCGCGUAGGCGGCUUUGCAAGUGCGGCGUGAAAGUCCUGGGCUCAACCUGGGGACGGCGCUGCGGACUGCAUGGCUGGAGUCCGGAAGAGGGUGGUGGAAUUCCGAGUGUAGAGGUGAAAUUCGUAGAUAUUCGGAAGAACACCAGUGGCGAAGGCGACUCACUGGACAUGUAUUGACGCUGAGGUACGAAAGCGUGGGGAGCAAACAGG
rnacentral:rRNA from 1 species